rnacentral:lncRNA from 1 species
AGCAGCUCCAGGCGGUGCUACAGGCUUGGGGUGGAGUGGAUGGAAGACUGCAGACGAAAAAGAUCUGGGGGUGUUGGUUGACACUCAGCUUAACAUGAGCCACCAGUGUGUCCAGGCAGCUCCGGGAGCCCCGUGAUUGACCAAAAGAUGGCAGCAGCCCCAUGUUUUUGGGAUUUCGUAGCCCUCUGCUUCGAAGGAAAUGCCAUACAGGGAGGGAUGCUGGCCCUCCAGUGCCCCCUUUCCAUCUGUGCUCUUAAAUGAGGCCACAACUUGCUGAAACUCCUUAUAAGGAUUCCUGUGAAGAAUAAAUCAAAACAACAUAAUCAGAUCAAAAAUUGCUUUUCCACCUGCUGAAAGUUAUAAAAAAAAUAAAAAAUAAAAACAAACCAGCAACUUCUGCCCACUAAUCAGCC